GCACUAGAGUAAUGCCAUCUUCAUUCACACCUCUAGAAUGGAAGCCAAGUCAGCUCUUCAGAAAAUGACAGACAUGUCCCCCAGUGUCAUGAUGCUGUGUAAGUCUCCCCUGGACCAACAAGCUCCCCUGGAAGUAAAGGCGAAGGAAAAAUGGGAGGGGCAGCAAUACUUAAACUGAGAUGAGCAAGGGAGGCAGCAACAGUCUGGAGAAACCAGCCAUGGUGUUGGAACCAGAAGAUGAUUAGGUAAAGGGGCUUUCCAAACCAGAACAAAUGGGUGGAAUAUAUAAACAUGUUUUGGAUCAAAAAAAAAAUACUAGACUUCCUAAAAUAAAACAGGAUGACAGCCCUAACUAA